ACAUUUUUGCUUGUGCAGGUCUUGUUCCCUUGCCUGCGUUGAGUGUCCAAUCUGUCGGACAAAAAUUGCAGAUAGGAUUUUUGCUUUUACUUGAUUUUGUGCUUCACCUGCUUGGAAUGAUGGUGCACGAAAGGGGUUCGUUUAUUCUUGUCAACUUGCUAUUUUCUAUGAUAUUCUUUAAUUAGUUCAACUGUAUGUAAAGUUCCUGCAACGCUAUUCAAAUGCUAUAUCAUUUUUUUCCUGUGUACUUAACCAAGGAACUGUAGAAUAAGAAACAAAGCAACAGAGGAAAGAGAAAAGGUUGGAAAUUAGUAAAUCUGAAGUUCAGGGGGUUUCCAUAUGAUCCUCUUGAUCGUCAAAUGUAAUGUAUAGAUAGAACAAAUAAGCAAAUACAAGAUGCCAUGUUAUUGUUGUAUUGUCUGUAAAUAUUUCUAAACGUCAAUUAUAUCAAAUGAGGAAGAUUUGAUAAACUGAUUCAUGAAA